UCAAGGAAUUCUUAGUCUAUGUCACAGUUAAUAAAAGAACCCUUUUAUUAUGUAUGCCCUUAUGGAGGAACACACAAAGAGCUGUAGGAGAGCACAGAGUAGUAAGCCAUCCAAACUUCCUCAAGGACAGGGUAUCUGAAGUGGGUCCUCAAGACUAAAUAGUGGGCUUCAAAGUAGACCAACCAAGGAAGGGAAUUCCAGAACUUAAAAACCUUAAAAGGUUUUAAAGCAAUAUUUCCAGUAAUUAAUGGGAAUGCUGUCACUGUGAUUAUUGGACUGUGGUGAGUUCCUGGAUAAAACAAUUAAGUACUUAUGUGAUAGUCCAAGUCUAUCAGUGCUGGUACUGUUGAAAAGUGAGAUCCUCUGUAGGUGAGAAAGGAGAUACAGAUAGAAGAUAAAAGCAAUUCUGAAAAAAAUCUGCAGUGGUAAACAAGAAUAGAAAGUAUGAGUAUGAACUCACAAUGGAUUUCCUUUAAAGAAAACAAAUCAAGCACACAAUACAUGUAUUUCCUGACUCUGAACAGUGGAAAGGCCUGUGAGCAACAACCAAGCCAACGGCAACAAAAUGCCACCAACACCCAGAUUGAGACCUGGUAUUACUAUAUCCCCACUGAACAGAACCAAGACUCCUUCAAGAAAUGAUUCAGUCUGGGUCUGGGACAGGAAAUGUUCAGAAUGAGCCUAGAAAAACCUGGAAAAUGCUGUUGUAACAGAUAACAAGCAGAACUUCUUUCAAAACUGGAGUCAAUCCUCUCAGACCCUGCUGCUACUUUAUCAACUAAGUUUAUAUGAUAUUACAAAUCCUUUGCUGUGUCCUUUCAACAGUCUUCAUGACAUCUUCACCAGGAGUAGAUUCCAUCUCAAGACAACACCUUGCUCAAACAUAAGAAGCAACUCCUCAUUCGCUCAAGUUUUAUCCUGAGAUGGCAACCAUGCAAUCCCACCUUCAGGCUCCACUCUAGUUAGCUUGCUCUUUCCACCCCAUUGGCAGUUACUUCCUCCCCUGAAGUCUUGAACCCCUUCAAAGUCAUCCAUGAGGGUUGGCUUUCAAAGUCCUACUCAUGCUGAUUUUUGACCUCUUGUCAUGAAUCAUGAAUGUUCUUCUAAAAUGGUGAAUCCUUUCUAGAAGGUUUUUAAUUUACUUUGCCCAGAUCCACCAGAGGAAUCACUGUAGCAGCAAUCGCCUUAUGAAAUGUAUUUCUUAAAUAAUACGUCUUGAAAGUCGAAAUGACUCGCUGAUGCAUAGGCUGCAGAAUGCUUGUUGCGUUGGCAGGCAUGAAAACAGUCAUCUCAUACAUCUCCAUCAGAGCUCUUGGGUGACUGGAUAUACUGUACUGUCAAUGAGCAGUAACAUUUUGAAAGGAAUCCUUUUUUCAGAGCAGGUCUUAACAGGGGGCUUAAAAUAUUCAGUAAACUAUGUGGUAAACAGAUAUGCUGUUGUCCAGGCUUUGUUGUUCCAUUUACAAAGCACAGAAAGCAUAGAUUUAGCAUAAUUCUUAAGGGUCCUAGGAUUUUAUGGAUAGUAAUGGAGCACUGGCUUCACGUUGAAAUCACCAUCUGCAUUAUUAGCCCCUAACAAGAGACUCAGCCCGUCCUCUGAAUCUUUGAAGGCAGGCACGGACUUCUCCUCUCUAGCUAUGGAAGUGCUAGUUGACAUCUUCUUCAACUAUAAGGCUGUUUCAUCUAUACUGAAAAUCUGUUGUUUAGUGCAGCCACCUUCAUUAAUGAUCUGAGCUAGAUCUUCUGGAUAAUCUGUUGCAGCUUCUACACCAGCACUUGCUGGUUCACCUUGUACUUCUAUGUUAUGGAGACGGCCUCUUUCCUUAAAAUUUAGGAACCCAACUCUGCUAGCUUCCAACUUCUCUGCUGCAGCUUCCUCACCGCUCUCAGGCUUCACAGAAUUGAUGAGAAUUAGGGCCUUGCUCUGGGUCAGGUUUUGGGUUAAAGGAUGUUGUGGCUGUUUUGAUCUUCUAUUUCAGACCACUCACACUUUCUCUACAUCAGCAGUAAGGCUGUUUUACUUUCUUAUCACCUGUGUGUUCACUGGAGUAGCAUUCUUAAUUUCCUGCAAGAACUUUUCCUUUGAUUCACAACUUGGCUAUGUAUUUGGUGCAAGAGGCCUAGCUUUGAGUCUAUCUUGGCUUUCAGUAUGCCUUCCUCAUUAAGCUUAGUCAUUUCUAGCUUUUGAUUCAAAGUGAAAGACAUGUGGCUUUUUUUAUUUGAACACUCAGAGGUCAUUGUUGGGUUAUUCCUUGGCCUAAUUUCAGUAUUAUUAUGUCUUUAAUAGGGAAGACCAAGAAGAGGGAGAGAGAUGGGGGAAUGGCUGGUCAGUGGAGCGAUCAGAACACACAUAACCUUUAUUGAUUAAGUUUACCAUCUUAAAUGGGUACAGAUUGUAGUGCCCCAGACAAUUACAAUAGUAACAACAAAGAUCAGUGAUCACAGAUCACCAUAUCAAAAAUCAUAAUAAUGGAAAAGUUUAAAAUACUGCCAGAAUUACCAAAAUAUGACACAGAGACACAGAGUGAGCAAGCACUUUUGAAAAAAGGAUACCGACAGACUUGGCUCGAUGUAGGACUACUAGAGACCUUCAAUCUGUAAAAAACACAAUUCAACUGUGAAGCUCAAUAAGCAAAACUCAAUAAAAUGAAGUCUGCCUAUAUUAAAUAGUUACAAUUUUUUUAGAUGUGACUAUGGUAUUAUGAUCAUGUUUUUAAAAGUGUCUUUUAUAGAUGCAUAAUUUAAAUAUUUAUGGGUCAAAUAAUAGGAUGUUUUAGACAUGUUUCAAAAUAAUAU